GUCAGAGUGAUGCAGUGGUUUGAGCGUUGGACUAUGACUCUGGAGACCAAGGUUUGAAUCCUCACUCAGCCA
rnacentral:tRNA from 1 species